CAGCCACCCUGGUGCUUCCCAGGCCUCUUCUGGGAUUCCCUGUUGCUGGGCUCAGUCUACCUGGGGCUGCAACCACAAGUUGCUUACGUGCCUAGCCUCUCCUCUUUCAGCUAAACCCAGUCUCCUCAUCAGCGCCUACAGCUGGGGAGAGGAGAUUAAGCCUUGGAGAGUGGAGAUGACGUACCCAGGACCCGUCAGCUAAUAUGUGGCAGAGCCUGAAUAGACACUCUGACCCUGCCUUCCUCUGAAGUCAUCUUGAAAUUAGAGGACAUGUGCUGGGUCAUAGAGAGGUGGGCUUCUGUGGAGCUACUGGCCCAGCUGAGUUCCACGGACAGCCUUAGUACAUGACACUGCUGAGCCUGGUCCCCUGUGUCCUCUGUUGGUGUUGCUGUUGAUUUUGGAUGCAAGUGCCAGCUUCCAUGCCGCCUUCCCAGAGGAGCCGUCCGUCUCUCUGCAGCUCAGCGCCUUGGAUUCCCUUGUCCUCCGCCCACUAGAGUGCUUUGGACACACUUCAAGUCUGGCUCCUCUCCCAGUAUAGGAGGUGAGCUG